rnacentral:rRNA from 1 species
GAUGAACGCUGGCGGCGUGCCUAAUUCAUGCCAGUCGAGCGAACAGACGAGGAGCUUGCUCCUCUGACGUUAGCGGCGGACGGGUGAGUAACACGUGGAUAACCUACCUAUAAGACUGGGAUAACUUCGGGAAACCGGAGCUAAUACCGGAUAACAUGUUGAACCGCAUGGUUCAACAGUGAAAGACGGUUUUGCUGUCACUUAUAGAUGGAUCCGCGUCGCAUUAGCUAGUUGGUAAGGUAACGGCUUACCAAGGCAACGAUGCGUAGCCGACCUGAGAGGGUGAUCGGCCACACUGGAACUGAGACACGGUCCAGACUCCUACGGGAGGCAGCAGUAGGGAAUCUUCCGCAAUGGGCGAAAGCCUGACGGAGCAACGCCGCGUGAGUGAAGAAGGUCUUCGGAUCGUAAAACUCUGUUAUUAGGGAAGAACAAAUGUGUAAGUAACUAUGCACGUCUUGACGGUACCUAAUCAGAAAGCCACGGCUAACUACGUG